UACAGAGGUGGCAAGCGUUGUUCGGAAUUACUGGGCGUAAAGGGCGCGUAGGCGGUUCGUUAAGUCCUGUGUGAAAUCCCCCGGCUCAACUGGGGAACUGCACAGGAAACUAGCGGGCUUGAGUUCGGGAGAGGGAAGCGGAAUUCCGGGUGUAGCGGUGAAAUGCGUAGAUAUCCAUAGGAACUCCGGUGGCGAAGGCGGCACGCUGGACCUCUUCUGACGCUGAGGCGCGAAAGCCAGGGGAGCAAACGGG
rnacentral:rRNA from 1 species